rnacentral:rRNA from 1 species
AGCAGCCGCGGUAAUUCCAGCUCCAAUAGCGUAUAUUAAAGUUGCUGCAGUUAAAAAGCUCGUAGUUGAAUUUCGGGACUAAUAUGUUGGUCGUGCCUCGGUACGUACUGAUAUUUUUGGUUUCUCCCUUCUGACGAACCUUGAUGUCAUUAAUUUGGUGUCUUUGGGAAAUCAGGACUGUUACUUUGAAAAAAUUAGAGUGUUUAAAGCAGGCUCACGCUUGAAUACAUUAGCAUGGAAUAAUGAAAUAGGACGUUUGAUUCUAUUUUGUUGGUUUCUAGGAUCGACGUAAUGAUUAAUAGGGAUAGUUGGGGGCAUUAGUAUUCAAUUGUCAGAGGUGAAAUUCUUGGAUUUAUUGAAGACUAACUACUGCGAAAGCAUUUGCCAAGGAUGUUUUCAUUAAUCAAGAACGAAAGUUAGGGGAUCGAAGACGAUCAGAUACCGUCGUAGUCUUAACCAUAAACUAUGCCGACUAGGGAUCGGAUGAUGUUAAUUUUUUAAUGACUCAUUCGGCGCCUUACG